rnacentral:rRNA from 1 species
UACGUAGGGUGCGAGCGUUAAUCGGAAUUACUGGGCGUAAAGCGUGCGCAGGCGGUUUCGUAAGCCAGACGUGAAAUCCCCGAGCUUAACUUGGGAACUGCGUUUGGUACUGCGAGGCUAGAGUACGGCAGAGGGAGGUGGAAUUCCACGUGUAGCAGUGAAAUGUGUAGAUAUGUGGAGGAAUACCGAUGGCGAAGGCAGCCCCCUGGGCUAACACUGACGCUCAUGCACGAAAGCGUGGGGAGCAAACAGG